GGGCGGGGCGGGCGGCACCGCCCAGAAAGCCAGGCAGGUGUUGUAAUUGUGCUUUGCGGAGUUUCUCAUAGUUUUGGACCGUUAGCUCCUCACCAUUGCGAGGCUGGCUUUGAACUCAUGAUCCUCCUGCCUCAGCCUCCCGAGCCACUGGGAUUACAGGCGUGCGACACGGCACCAGCCUGAUCUUUUGAUCAAAACUAUGCUAUGAAGUACUCAUUCUGAAUAGGGGCAACUUUCUAUACUUCUCUGAGGGUGAGGACUUGCCUUUGUUUUCCAUCCUGAUAGGUCACCGGACAAUAGCCCUGGAGUUCUGCACACUUAGGGAAUCGACUCUUCAGCUCUGACAGCGUCAGCCUUUUGGGAAUCCUGUCAGCAGCCUUUGGAGAUGAAUCUCCCGGAUGCCCACCUAUGAGUCGAGGCCUCUAUGCUCAGCACCCUCUAUAUUGGAACAAUCUUUUGAAGAUCUCCUUGGAAGGCACGUCCAACUCAAAGAUGAUCAUGGGAAUGAUGGAGUUGGUUUCCAAGAGAUUCAUCUGAUAUGCAGUUACAGGGUACCCAUCGAUGACAACGCUUAACACAGAGAAACAUGAAAAUAAAAAUUCUGCAUUUCUUCUUUCUAGUGCUGCCUUCCAGAACAUGUCCAUCUUUUCAGGACUGACCCUAGGCUUUUCCUUACGUAACUCAGUUUAUCUAGGUAUUUGACAAUAAUGUCUUAGACCAGAAUGUUAGCAUAGGAGAGAGAAAGAAGUGGUUUAAUUUGAGAUGAUAGGCAGAAAUACAUACAAUUUAUUCAUUGACUGGAUGAAGCAGAGAGGGGAAAGGAAUAUAUGGAGGAUGAAAUUUUAGCUUUCUUAAGCAACAUAGAAAUAAUAUGGUAUAAUUUAGUAAUAGGAAUGGGUGAAGGUGAUAUCAGAAUUUGCAUUUAUAAGUGUCUAUGUUUAAAACAACAGAUCAACUUGUGAAAUACAUUCAGAAUUUAAAAGGCAUUCGAAUGAGUCAAAAAUGAGAAAAUAAGUAUUUGGAUACUUAGUCUCAAACUUAAAAUACACGUAUUUGGGAGUGAUGAACUCUGAUAGCUCCCAGUUUAGACAGACAAGGGAGCCAGUUUAUCCUCUUGUGCUUUAUCUUCUUCAUUUUUAUACCCUAAACCUCAGUCAGCCCAGGAGCCAGGAGGUGGGCAGUACACACAGGGACACAGUUGGGAAGGCAGAGGUAGGAGAGAGGUCUGUAUGCAGACACUUAGCAUUGCAGAACUAGGUUUUGGCAGAAUUUAAGAGAAAACAGAAUAUUUUAAACACAGUGCUCCAGUUGUGCUAUUAGAGUAAGCAUGAGCAGCAGAAAGAACAUAGAUAGAUCCAGAUUUGAAACCUGGUUUAAGCUCUCUGAGCUUGAGUUUUUAGUAAAACAGAAAAAAUGAUAUUCAACCUUUUAAAAGAGCAGGUAUGUACUAGAAUAGAACCUGGCAUAUAUUAGAUGCUCAGUAAAUAGAUGUUCUGGGAGGAGAGAGACACUUUUUGUGUGUGGAUAUUCUGUGAGGAGGUUGUGAUACAGAAGGGGAGAUGCAGAGUUGGCAAGCGGAGCUUGAUGGUAUCUGGGUAGGAAUCAUUCCGUCAGGAUUCAUCAUGCGUGCCUCUGAACAGAAAGGCUGAAGGUAAUUUGUUAGUCCAACAGUCUUGAGAUAAUGGAAUGAUUUUCAUUAUCAAACUGAGAGGAAUAAAACUGUCCAUAAAUUA